rnacentral:misc_RNA from 1 species
CUCAAAUCCCUAACAAAAUAAUUGCAGGGUAACAAUUAAUUCACCUUAAACAAACAAUAAUAUAAAAUAGAAUCAGACAUAUCUUGUCACAAAACUAGCUAGCUAUAUCAAAUAGUAAUUUCUAAGCUCACCAUUCGAGUUAUGAAUUCGCCAAAUGAUUCUUUGGAUUGCCUUCUCUGUUUCCAAUGAUAAAAAAGAGGUUCCAGAACACGUUCGAGGUCUUGAAUCUUAACCUUAUCCAUGAAGCUUCUUGCCAAUGCAGU